rnacentral:rRNA from 1 species
CAAUAGCGUAUAUUUAAGUUGUUGCAGUUAAAAAGCUCGUAGUUGGAUUUCGGAUGGGAUUUGCCGGUCCGUCGUUACGAUGUGCACUGGCCAGUCCUAUCUUGUUGUCGGGGACUAGCUCCUUGGAUUCACUUCCUGGGACUAGGAGCUGACGAGGUUACUUUGAGUAAAUUAGAGUGCUCAAAGCAAGCCUACGCUCUGAAUACAUUAGCAUGGAAUAACACGAUAGGACUCUGGCUUAUCUUGUUGGUCUGUGAGACCAGAGUAAUGAUUAAGAGGGACAGUCGGGGACAUUCGUAUUUCAUUGUCAGAGGUGAAAUUCUUGGAUUUAUGAAAGACGAACUUCUGCGAAAGCAUUUGUCAAGGAUGUUUUCAUUAA